UACGGGGGGAGCAAGCGUUGUUCGGAUUUACUGGGCGUAAAGGGCGCGUAGGCGGUCAGCACAAGUCAGUUGUGAAAUCUCCGGGCUUAACUCGGAAAGGUCAACUGAUACUGUGCGACUAGAGUGCAGAAGGGGCAACUGGAAUUCUCGGUGUAGCGGUGAAAUGCGUAGAUAUCGAGAGGAACACCGGUGGCGAAGGCGGCCUUCUGGACAGUGACUGACGCUGAGACGCGAAAGCGUGGGGAGCGAUCCGG
rnacentral:rRNA from 1 species